rnacentral:rRNA from 1 species
UACGUAGGGGGCAAGCGUUGUUCGGAUUUACUGGGCGUAAAGGGCGCGUAGGCGGCGCAACAAGUCACUUGUGAAAUCUCCGGGCUUAACCCGGAGCGGUCAAGUGAUACUGUCGGGCUCGAGUCCGGAAGAGGUGAGUGGAAUUCCUGGUGUAGCGGUGAAAUGCGCAGAGUAUCAGGAGGGACACCGGUGGCGAAGGCGGCAUUCUGGACCACAACUGACACUGAGAGACGAAAGCCAGGGGAGCAAACGGG